rnacentral:rRNA from 1 species
AACGUACGCUGGCGGCACGCCUAACACAUGCAAGUCGAACGAAGUAGCAAUACUUAGUGGCAGACGGGUGAGUAACAUGUAGGUAUCUGCCCUUUGGCCUGGAAUAACACGAGGAAACUUGUGCUAAUACCGGAUAAGUCUUUACGGAGAAAGCUUUAUGCACCAUUGGAUGAGCCUGCACUUGAUUAGUUUGUUGGUGGGGUAAUGGCCUACCAAGACUGUGAUCAAUAGCUGAUUUGAGAGGAUGAUCAGCCACAUUGGGACUGAGACACGGCCCAAACUCCUACGGGAGGCAGCAGUGGGGAAUCUUGCACAAUGGAGGAAACUCUGAUGCAGCGAUGCCGCGUGAGUGAAGAAGGCCCUUGGGUUGUAAAGCUCUUUCGUCGGGGAAGAAAAUGACUGUACCCGAAUAAGAAGGUCCGGCUAACUUCGUGCCAGCAGCCGCGGUAAUACGAAGGGACCUAGCGUAGUUCGGAAUUACUGGGCUUAAAGAGUUCGUAGGUGGUUGAAAAAGUUAGUGGUGAAAUCCCAGAGCUUAACUCUGGAACUGCCAUUAAAACUUUUCAGCUAGAGUAUGAUAGAGGAAAGCAGAAUUUCUAGUGUAGAGGUGAAAUUCGUAGAUAUUAGAAAGAAUACCAAUUGCGAAGGCAGCUUUCUGGAUCAUUACUGACACUGAGGAACGAAAGCAUGGGUAGCGAAGAGGAUUAGAUACCCUCGUAGUCCAUGCCGUAAACGAUGUGUGUUAGACGUUAGAAAUUUAUUUUUAGUGUCGCAGGGAAACCGAUAAACACACCGCCUGGGGAGUACGACCGCAAGGUUAAAACUCAAAUGAAUUGACGGGGACCCGCACAAGUAGUGGAGCAUGUGGUUUAAUUCGAAGAUACGCGCAGAACCUUACCAACACUUGACAUGUUCGUCGCGACUCUAAGAGAUUAGAGUUUUCGGUUCGGCCGGACGAAACACAGGUGCUGCAUGGCUGUCGUCAGCUCGUGUCCGUGAGAUGUUGGGGUUAAGUCCCGCAACGAGCGCAACCCUCACUUUUAGUUGCCAUCAUUA